GAUGAACGCUGGCGGCGUGCCUAAUACAUGCAAGUCGAGCGAACAGACGAGGAGUUUGCUUCUCUGACGUUAGCGGCGGACGGGUGAGUAACACGUGCAUAACCUACCUAUCAUACUGCGAUAACUACGCGAAACCGGAGCUAAUACCGGAUAAUAUAUUGAACUGCAUGGCUCAAUAGUGAAAGACGGUGUUGCUGUCACUUAUAGAGGGAUCCGCGCCGCAUUAGAUAGUUGGUAAGGUAACGGCUUACCAAGGCAACGAUGCGUAGCCGACCGGAGAGGGUGGUCAGCCACACUGGAACUGAAACACGGUCCAGACUCCUACGGUACGCAGCGGUAGAGACUCUUACGCAAUGGACGGAAGGCAGACGGAACAACGCCGAGUAGGGUAUGGAGGUCUGCGGAUCGUAAUACUCUGUUAUUAGGGAGGAACAAAUGUGUAAGUAACUAUGCGCGUCUUGACGGUACCGAAUCAAAAAGCCACGGCUAACUACGUG
rnacentral:rRNA from 1 species